CCUACGGGUGGCAGCAGUGAGGAAUAUUGGUCAAUGGGCGGAAGCCUGAACCAGCCAAGUAGCGUGCAGGAUGACGGCCCUACGGGUUGUAAACUGCUUUUAUACGGGAAUAACGCGCCUUACUUAUAGGUCUUUGCAUGUACCGUAUGAAUAAGGACCGGCUAAUUCCGUGCCAGCAGCCGCGGUAAUACGGAAGGUCCGGGCGUUACCCGGAUUUAUUGGGCUUAAAGUGAGCGUAGGCGGCAUGUCAAGCGUGCUGUGAAAUGUCCGGGCUCAACCCGGGCCUUGCAGCGCAAACUGGCGUGCUUGAGUCCGCGGAAGGCAGGCAGAAUUCGUCGUGUAGCGGUGAAAUGCUUAGAUAUGACGAAGAACCCCGAUUGCGAAGGCAGCUUGCUGCAGCAGGACUGACGCUGAUGCGCGAAAGCGCGGGUAUCGAACAGGAUUAGAUACCCCAGUAGUC
rnacentral:rRNA from 1 species